rnacentral:tRNA from 1 species
UAGGUAAAUAGCCUUAGUAGCUUAAUAAAAGCA